GCGCCUGUAGCUCAACGGACAGAGCACAAGAUUCCGGAUCUUGGGGUUGGAGGUUCAAUUCCUCUCAGGCGCG
rnacentral:tRNA from 1 species